CCUACGGGAGACAGCAGUGAGGAAUAUUGGUCAAUGGACGCAAGACUGAACCAGCCAUGCCGCGUGCAGGAAGACGGCUCUAUGAGUUGUAAACUGCUUUUGUACGAGGGUAAACGCAGAUACGCGUCUCUGUCUGAAAGUAUCUUACGAAUAAGGAUCGGCUAACUCCGUGCCAGCAGCCGCGGUAAUACGGAGGAUUCAAGCGUUAUCCGGAUUUAUUGGGUUUAAAGGGUGCGUAGGCGGUCGGAUAAGUUAGAGGUGAAAUCCCGAGGCUCAACUUCGGAAUUGCCUCUGAUACUGUUCGGCUAGAGAGGAGGUGCGGUAGGCGGAAUGUAUGGUGUAGCGGUGAAAUGCUUAGAGAUCAUACAGAACACCGAUUGCGAAGGCAGCAUACCAAGCUACUUCUGACGUUGAGGCACGAAAGCGUGGGGAGCAAACAGGAUUAGAUACCCGGGUAGUC
rnacentral:rRNA from 1 species